UCGGAGGAUCCGCUAGCUUGGCAGACACGGAGGGCGCCGCCUCCACGAGGCCGGCACGUCCUGUAGCUAGAGUAGAUAAUGAGGAGUCCAUGCCCACGAUACCAGAGGGGACGGUCUUCAGAAGACUUCAGGGCGUCUGUCUUCUCAAGUAGAUCAUAUUCCAGGAAGAGAGAAGAAGAUCGUAACUAUGAAUUUGCUCGGCAGAAUAUACCUAGAUCAGACUUCUGGGAAAAGACCGUUGAGGCAUAGGCCAACCCUACCCUUGACUUGGAUGAAAACAUAGUGUAUUUUUCUUGUUCGUAGUAUGGUAAGUCACAGUGCUCCUUGCAAGCGCUCGUUUUGGGGAGCUGGUUAACAGUAUCAGGUUCAGUUCUUUGUGAGGACAGGCCGCAGAGUUGACUGCUGGCCUACAAUUCUGCUUUGUUCCAGAGUCGUGCUCCAAUGCCAAAUGUCGGUACCAGCUGUUUCAGUUCCUCUCUGUAUCGUGUACGUUUCCUAGCCUCUCGACUUGGACAUGGAAUGGAAGCAUUAACCCCAUAAUUCUGUCCUCUAUAAAGUUUAAAUAGGAACAACAGAUGCCAUCAUCGCUGGAGCAGUUACAAAGCAAUUCUACCAGAGGAACGUCCCUGAAUUGUUGUCCUGCAGCGACUAGAAAGGACAACUGAAGAGAUGACUCACUGCUCUCCACAGGAAAAGAGGGAUGCUGGCUGCUACGUUGAGAGAGGAGGCCCACAGAGCGAGGAACUGAAGCUUCCUGCCGAAACCAUCGUGAACGGUUUGGGAAGCGGGUCCUCCAGCUGCCGUCCAGCCUUCAGAUGUCUGCAGCCCCCACCCGCAGCCUGAUGUCAUUUCAUGAGAGUCUUCAGGAGUACCCGGCUAAUGAGCUGCUCCUAAAGUCUUGACUCUCCUAAAGUGUAUGAUAUAGCACCUGCCCUCCGACUGCUUCCACCUGCGACGGCCUACCCGGACAUGACGCUCGGGACCAGUGACCUCCCCCCCACCCGCACAGCCGUCUCGUGUACGGGGCGAGAAGCACCUUCCUCCUUUCCUUGUGUAUUCACGCAUUAAUAAAGGGUUUGAUAGGUGA